UAUUUAGGUUUACAUUUUUGUGAAUCUAAAUAAAAAAAAAAAUAGAACAUGGCUUAAGUUCUCGAGAUCUUCUCUCCCCUCUAUGUCUCUAAAUCUCCUUUCCUCUUCAGAUCUCCUCUUCUCAUCGUCUCCAGAUUUCCUCUCUCUUAUCUUCUUGUCGUCUUCCUCCGCCGCAGCUACCACCAAACCCACUCGAUUCAACUGAACCUCGUUCUGCUUCCACAUCUUCCACCAUUUCUUGUCACCUUAACUCCAGAUCUGGCUAUCUCUACUACACAAAAUCUGUUUCUAUAGAAACCCAGAAUCACCCAUGAUUUCAGAUGAGGUAUUUGUUGUCUUGAAGCCUAGUGAUAAAGUUUGUAAAGAUAAUAUGAAGAUUGGGGAUGUGGGAAUGAGGAAGCAAGCUUUGAUUAAGCUUAACGAAUGGAGUUUCUUAACGCUUAAAGUUGAGAAAUUUAGGGUUACUUUUUGUGAUUGUUUUUUUAUUUCCUUUGGUUUGGUUUUUAAUUGUAGAAGAGGAUGAGGAAAGGAACUAAAGUUGGUAAUCACACAUGUAUUCUAGUGAUUUGCUGACAACGUCUCGUUUUGGUGUCUUUGUACAUGAGGACCAAAACAAAACUUUAUAAGGCACAUAUAUCUGUGUUAUUGUGGGAGAGAACUCAACCAUCUUUGGGAAAAACGCACCAAGCAGUGACGGGAAGAUGAUGAAGAUAGGAUUGAAAAGGAUGCUGAAGCUUUCAAUUCCUCCUGGUUACCGGGAAGUGACCCCAAAUAUGUUUUUCUUCCUAGAGUCUCAAACCAAUGAUCCAAACCCUUCUGAUGUUCAAAGUUAGGUUCCUUCACUAUCCCUCCUUCCCUCAUGUUUAUGAAAACUUUUGUAAUAUUUGCGACUUGUACUCUUGGAUGUUUUCUUGAACUUAUGUUGGAUGUAAAAUUAAACUUAUGUUUUUGUUUAAUUUUAUGUUUGUUUAAUUUCAUGUUUGUUAUGUUU